UACGGAGGGUGCAAGCGUUGUCCGGAUUCAUUGGGUUUAAAGGGUGCGUAGGCGGCCCGAUAAGUCAGGGGUGAAAUACCGCGGCUCAACCGCGGGGCUGCCCCUGAUACUGCCGGGCUUGGGUCCACGUUGGGCAGGCGGAAUUUGGGGUGUAGCGGUGAAAUGCAUAGAUACCCCAAGGAAUGCCGGAGGCGAAGGCGGCCUGCUUAUGUGGUACCGACGCUGAUGCACGAAAGCGCGGGGAUCGAACAGG
rnacentral:rRNA from 1 species